rnacentral:rRNA from 1 species
UGCUUGCAAUCCGCUGACGACCGGCGAACGGGUGCGUAACGCGUAUGCAACCUACCUUUUACAGGGGAAUAGCCCAAAGAAAUUUGGAAUAAUACCCCAUAAGAUCUUUAAUUGGCAUCAAUCAAAGAAGAAAACUCCGGUGGUAAAAGAUGGGCAUGCGUCCUAUUAGUUAGUUGGUAAGGUAACGGCUUACCAAGACUUCGAUAGGUAGGGGUCCUGAGAGGGAGAUCCCCCACACUGGUACUGAGACACGGACCAGACUCCUACGGGAGGCAGCAGUGAGGAAUAUUGGACAAUGGAGGCAACUCUGAUCCAGCCAUGCCGCGUGCAGGAAGACUGCCCUAUGGGUUGUAAACUGCUUUUAUACAGGAAGAAUUGCAUCUACGUGUAGUUGCUUGACGGUACUGUACGAAUAAGGAUCGGC